rnacentral:rRNA from 1 species
GGUUAAGCGACUAAGCGUACACGGUGGAUGCCCUGGCAGUCAGAGGCGAUGAAGGGCGUGCUAAUCUGCGAUAAGCGCCGGUAAGGUGAUAUGAACCGUUAUAACCGGCGAUACCCGAAUGGGGAAACCCAGUGUGAUUCGUCACACUAUCAUUAACUGAAUCCAUAGGUUAAUGAGGCGAAC